rnacentral:rRNA from 1 species
UGGUGGAGUGAUUUGUCUGGUUAAUUCCGUUAACGAACGAGACCUCGACCUGCUAAAUAGUUGACUAAACUCCUCGGGUUUGGAUUGACUUCUUAGAGGGACUUUGGUGAGUAGCCAAAGGAAGUUCGAGGCAAUAACA